rnacentral:rRNA from 1 species
UGAUUCCCCUAGUAACGGCGAGUGAAGAGGGAAAAGCUCAAAGUUGGAACCUGGCUGUCCUAGAUAGUCCGGAUUGUAAACUAAAGAGCGUGAGUCCAGGCAAGCCGGUUGAUCAAGUCCUUUGGAAUGAGGCGCCACUGAGGGUGAGAGCCCCGUAAAUCGACUGAGCAUUUGUCUUUUGUGUCUCGCGUUCAAAGAGUCAGGUUGUUUGGGAAUGCAGCCUAAAGCUGGUGGUAAAUCCCACCUAAAGCUAAAUACAGGCGAGAGACCGAUAGCGAACAAGUACCGUGAGGGAAAGAUGAAAAGUACUUUGAAAAGAGAGUUAAACAGUAUGUGAAAUUGCCAAGAGGGAAGCAUUUGGAGUUAGACUGACUUGGAGUUAAUCAGCUUGGUCUUUGGACUGGGUGUACUUGACUUCUAUGUCUGCCAACAGCAGUUAGUCCUGAUGGAAAAAACUGAAGGGAAGGUAGUCCUUCGGGAUGUUUAUAGACCUUUGGAAAAUACACUGGGAUUGACUGAGGAAUGCAGUAGAUGCUAUUAAGGCUUCGUCUAUUGGGUGUUAGGUAAAGGUACUUGGUAUUUUCAGCUUGCUGAUGUGCUAGGUUACUUGAGCUUAAUUGCCUAGUAGAACUGUAAUC